GUGGGGAAUAUUCCGCAAUGGACGAAAGUCUGACGGAGCAACGCCGCGUGAGUGAUGAAGGUUUUCGGACUGUAAAGCUCUGUUGUUUAGGACGAAAGUGCCUGUUGCAAAUAGUUACAGGUAUUGACGGUACUGAACGAGGAAGCCACGGCUAACUACGUGCCAGCAGCCGCGGUAAUACGUAGGUGGCAAGCGUUGUCCGGAAUUAUUGGGCGUAAAGAGCAUGUAGGCGGGAAUCUAAGUCUGUUGUGAAAAUGCGGGGCUCAACCCCGUAUUGCGAUGGAAACUGGGUUUCUUGAGUGCAGGAGAGGAAAGGGGAAUUCCCAGUGUAGCGGUGAAAUGCGUAGAUAUUGGGAGGAACACCAGUGGCGAAGGCGCCUUUCUGGACUGUGUCUGACGCUGAGAUGCGAAAGCCAGGGUAGCGAACGGGAUUAGAUACUCCUGUAGUCC
rnacentral:rRNA from 1 species